UACGAGGGGUCCUAGCGUUGUUCGGAAUUAUUGGGCGUAAAGCGUGUGUAGGCGGCCUAGCAAGUCAGUUGUGAAAGCCCCGGGCUCAACCCGGGAAGUGCUUCUGAUACUGCUUGGCUUGAGUACUGGAGAGGAUAGUGGAAUUCCAGGUGUAGUGGUGAAAUACGUAGAUAUCUGGAGGAACACCUGAGGCGAAGGCGGGUUGCUUGGCCGACACUGACGCUGAGGCGCGAAAGCCAGGGGAGCAAACGGG
rnacentral:rRNA from 1 species